AAUUACUUCUUAAUAUACACAUGCAAGUCUCCGCAUCCCUGUGAAAACGCCCUUAAACCCCUACAAUGGGUAAGGAGCCGGUAUCAGGCACAAAACAAGCCCAAGACACCUAGCUAUGCCACAUCCACACGGAAAUUCAGCAGUGAUUAACAUUGAAUAUAAGCGCCAGCUUGAAUCAGUUAAAGUAAAAAGAGCCGGCAAAUCUGGUGCCAGCCGCCGCGGUUACACCACGUGGCUCAAAUUAAUUUCCUCCGGCGUAAAGCGUGAUUAAAGUCUAUUGUUUACUGCAAUUAAACCAAAACUAGGCCGUGACACGCUUGUCCUUAGGAAACCCAAAACGAAAGUCAUUGCACGCCCCAACUUGAAUUCACGACAGCUAGGAAACAAACUGGGAUUAGAUACCCCACUAUGCCUAGCCGUAAACUUUAAUUUACCCCUCUAUCCGCCAGGGUACUACGAGCAAAGCUUAAAACCCAAAGGACUUGACGGUACCCCACAUCCACCUAGAGGAGCCUGUCCUAUAAUCGAUAACCCCCGCUUUACCUCACCAUUUUUAGCCUGUUCAGUCUGUAUACCUCCGUCGUCAGCUUACCUCGUGAGCGCUAACUAGUGAGCCCAACGCCUUUACGCCAACACGUCAGGUCAAGGUGCAGCAUAUGAAAUGGAAAGAGAUGGGCUACACUGUCUAAUAUAGACAACACGAAAGACUAUUUAUGAAAUCUAGUCAGAAGGAGGAUUUAGAAGUAAAAAAAGACCAUUGUGCUUUCUUUAACUUGGCACUGGGGUGUGUACACACCGCCCGUCACCCUCUUCAAAGCUCUAAUAUAGUCUCUAACACAAUAUACUAAACUAGAAGAGGUAAGUCGUAACAAGGUAAG
rnacentral:ncRNA from 1 species